UGCCUGCCAUAGUUGUCUGCAGAGAGGUGAAAGUCUGUCGAGAUGUUCUCAAUGUAAGACGGCCCGUUACUGCAGUGUUCAGUGUCAGAAGCAAGCAUGGCCUGAUCACAAGAGGGAAUGCAAAUGCCUCAAGCGUCUCCAGCCA